rnacentral:rRNA from 1 species
ACGGGGUGCAGCAGGCGCGAAAACUUUGCAAUACACGAAAGUGUGACAGGGUCAUCCCGAGUGCCGACCGCUGAGGUUGGCUUUUACCCAGUCUAGAAAGCUGGGGGAAUAAGGAGAGGGCAAGUCUGGUGUCAGCCGCCGCGGUAAUACCAGCUCUCCGAGUGGUGUGGACGUUUAUUGGGCCUAAAGCAUCCGUAGCUGGCUUAGCAAGUCCCCUGUUAAACCCACCGAUUUAAUCGUUGGUCUGCGGGGGAUACUGUUAGGCUAGGGGACGAGAGAGGCAGACGGUAUUCCCGGGGUAGGGGUGAAAUCCUAUAAUCCCGAGAAGACCACCAGUGGCGAAGGCUGUCUGCUAGAACGCGCCCGACGGUGAGGGAUGAAAGCUGGGGGAGCGAACCGGAUUAGAUACCCGGGUAGUCCCAGCUGUAAACGAUGCAGGCUAGGUGUUUGGACGGCCAUGUGCCGUUCUAGUGCCGCAGGGAAGCUGUUAAGCCUGCCGCCUGGGGAGUACGAUCGCAAGAUUGAAACUUAAAGGAAUUGGCGGGGGAGCAC